rnacentral:rRNA from 1 species
GACGUAGGAUGCGAGCGUUGUCCGGAUUUAUUGGGCGUAAAGAGUUCGUAGGUGGCAUAUCAAGUCUGGUGUUAAAGCCCGGAGCUCAACUCCGGUUCGGCAUUGGAUACUGAUAAGCUUGAGUGCAGAAGAGGCAAGGGGAAUUCCCAGUGUAGCGGUGAAAUGCGUAGAUAUUGGGAGGAACACCGGUGGCGUAAGCGUCUUGCUGGUCUGUUACUGACACUGAGGAACGAAAGCCAGGGGAG